UAGGGAAUCUUGCGCAAUGGAGGAAACUCUGACGCAGCAAUACCGCGUGAGUGAGGAAGGUCUUCGGAUUGUAAAGCUCUGUCGUGAGGGAAAAAUGGUUAUUGGGGUAAUAUUCCAGUAAUUUGAUGGUACCUCAGAAGGAAGCACCGGCUAACUUCGUGCCAGCAGCCGCGGUAAUACGAAGGGUGCAAGCGUUGUUCGGAUUUAUUGGGCGUAAAGCGCGCGCAGGCGGAUUUUUAAGUCAGAUGUGAAAUCUCGGGGCUCAACCCCGAACGUGCGUCUGAAACUGGAGAUCUAGAAUGUUGGAGGGGGCAGAGGAAUUUCACAUGUAGGGGUAAAAUCCGUAGAGAUGUGAAGGAACACCAGAGGCGAAGGCGUCUGCCUGGCCAAAUAUUGACGC
rnacentral:rRNA from 1 species